rnacentral:rRNA from 1 species
CUAUAAUUGUCAGCUAAGUGGCGCACGGGUGAGUAAUGUAUAGAUAACCUGCCCUUAAGAAAGGAAUAACAGUUGGAAACGACUGCUAAUGCCCUAUAUGCCUUUAAUACAUAAGUAUGCAAGGGAAACGCUUUAGUGCUUAAGGAUGGGUCUGUAUGGUAUCAGCUUGUUGGUGAGGUAAUGGCUCACCAAGGCUAUGACGCCUAACUGGUUUGAGAGGAUGAUCAGUCACACUGGAACUGAGACACGGUCCAGACUCCUACGGGAGGCAGCAGUGGGGAAUAUUGCACAAUGGACGAAAGUCUGAUGCAGCAACGCCGCGUGGAGGAUGACACAUUUCGGUGCGUAAACUCCUUUUAUAUAGGAAGAUAAUGACGGUACUAUAUGAAUAAGCACCGGCUAACUCCGUGCCAGCAGCCGCGGUAAUACGGAGGGUGCAAGCGUUACUCGGAAUCACUGGGCGUAAAGAGCGUGUAGGCGGGUAUAUAAGUCAGAAGUGAAAUCCAAUAGCUCAACUGUUGAACUGCUUUUGAAACUGUAUACCUAGAAUGUGGGAGAGGUAGAUGGAAUUUCUGGUGUAGGGGUAAAAUCCGUAGAGAUCAGAAGGAAUACCGAUUGCGAAGGCGAUCUACUGGAACAUUAUUGACGCUGAGACGCGAAAGCGUGGGGAGCAAACAGGAUUAGAUACCCUGGUAGUCCACGCCCUAAACGAUGUACACUAGUUGUUGUGAGGCUCGACCUUGCAGUAAUGCAGUUAACACAUUAAGUGUACCGCCUGGGGAGUACGGUCGCAAGAUUAAA